rnacentral:miRNA from 1 species
CUCAGAAGCAGAGAUACCCCUGGAGGAGCGAGGGGUUCCAGCCCCACACUGGGCUUCCCAGCCCAAGGUUCCA